CGUGAGGGUUCAAGUCCCUCUAUCCCCAAAAAGGCCAAACGGAUUCCGUA
rnacentral:tRNA from 1 species